rnacentral:rRNA from 1 species
UACGUAGGGGGCAAGGCGUUGUCCGGAUUUAUUGGGCGUAAAGAGCGUGUAGGCGGCCAGACAGGUCGUUGUGAAACCUAGAGGCUUAAACCUCUAGACGUCGAUGGAAACCGUCUGGCUAGGAGUCCGGAAGAGGAGAGUGGAAUUCCUGGUGUAGCGGUGAAAUGCGUAGAGAUCGGGAGGAACAUCAGUUGCGAAGGCGGCUCUCGUGGACCAGCACUGACACUGAGGCACGAAAGCGAUGGGGAGGCGAACGAGG